rnacentral:miRNA from 1 species
UAUGACGUAGAAGCGAGUGAAG